ensembl:snRNA U4 U4 spliceosomal RNA
AUCCUUUCGCAGUGGCAGUAUCAUAACCUAUGAGGUUUAUUUGAGGUGUGAUUAUUGCUGGUUGAAAACUUUAACCCAGUCCCUGCUUUGAUGACUUGAAAUACAGUCAGCAAUAGCAGUUUUUCAGAGUCUCUAAGGAGA